AGAGUUUGAUCCUGGCUCAGGACGAACGCUUGCGGCGUGCCUAAGAAAUGCAAGUCGAGCGGGGUCUCGCGCUGUCUGAAGCUUCGGCAGAGGACUUGUGGGGCCUAGCGGCGAACGGUCGCGUAACACGUAAGCAACCUGCCCUGGAGUGGGGGAUAGCCCGCCGAAAGGCGGAUUAAUACCGCAUUCGGAUAUCGCCACGCAUGUGGUGGUAUCCAAAGCAGCAAUGCGCUUCAGGAUGGGCUUGCGGCCUAUCAGCUAGUUGGUGGGGUAACGGCCUACCAAGGCGACGACGGGUAGCUGGUCUGAGAGGAUGGUCAGCCGGAUUGGGACUGAGAUACGGCCCAGACUCCUACGGGAGGCAGCAAUUAGGAAUCUUGCGCAAUGGGGGAAACCCUGACGCAGCGACGCCGCGUGAGCGAUGAAGUCUCUAGGGAUGUAAAGCUCUGUCCUGCGGGGAAGAAGGAUGUGACGGUACCCGCAGAGAAAGCCCCGGCUAACUACGUGCCAGCAGCCGCGGUAAUACGUAGGGGGCGAGCGUUGUCCGAAUUUACUGGGCGUAAAGCGCGUGUAGGCGGCUCUUUAAGUCAGGUGUGAAAUCUUGCGGCUCAACCGCAAAACUGCUUCUGAAACUGGAGAGCUUGAGUUUGGGAGAGGAGAGUGGAAUUCCUGGUGUAGCGGUGAAAUGCGUAGAUAUCAGGAGGAACACCCGUGGCGAAGGCGGCUCUCUGGUCCAACACUGACGCUGAGACGCGAAAGCUAGGGGAGCGAACGGGAUUAGAUACCCUGGUAGUCC
rnacentral:rRNA from 1 species